GACGAACGCUGGCGGCGUGCUUAACACAUGCAAGUCGAACGAUGAAGCCGGAGCUUGCUCUGGUGAAUUAGUGGCGAACGGGUGAGUAACACGUGAGUAACCGGCCCUUGACUCUGGGAUAACUGCGGGAAACUGUAGCUAAUACCGGAUACGACCCUGGGAGGCAUCUCCUGGGGGAGGAAAGAAUUUCGGUCAAGGAUGGACUCCCGGCCUAUCAGCUAGUUGGUGAGGUAAAGGCUCACCAAGGCGACGACGGGUAACCGGCCUGAGAGGGUGACCGGCCACACUGGGACUGAGACACGGCCCAGACUCCUACGGGAGGCAGCAGUGGGGAAUAUUGCACAAUGGGCGCAAGCCUGAUGCAGCAACGCCGCGUGAGGGAUGACGGCCUUCGGGUUGUAAACCUCUUUUAGCAGGGAAGAAGCGAAAGUGACGGUACCUGCAGAAAAAGCACCGGCUAACUACGUGCCAGCCGCCGCGGUAA
rnacentral:rRNA from 1 species